CAGCAGCCGCGGUAAUACGUAGGGUGCGAGCGUUAAUCGGAAUUACUGGGCGUAAAGCGUGCGCAGGCGGUUGUGUAAGACAGGUGUGAAAUCCCCGGGCUUAACCUGGGAACUGCGCUUGUGACUGCACAGCUAGAGUAUGGCAGAGGGGGGUGGAAUUCCACGUGUAGCAGUGAAAUGCGUAGAGAUGUGGAGGAACACCGAUGGCGAAGGCAGCCCCCUGGGCCAAUACUGACGCUCAUGCACGAAAGCGUGGGGAGCAAACAGGAUUAGAUACCCGCGUAGUCCCUGUCUCUUAUAC
rnacentral:rRNA from 1 species